rnacentral:rRNA from 1 species
UAAUCAUAUGCUUGUCUCAAAGAUUAAGCCAUGCAUGUCUAAGUACAAGCCGCUUUAGCGGCGAGACUGCGGACGGCUCAUUAAAUCGGUUAUGACUCCACUGGGGCCCGACUCUCCACGUGGAUAACGUGCGGUAACUCCGGUGCUAAUACAUGCAACAAGGCUCCGACCGCGGCUUCGGCCGCGGGAAGGGCGCACUUAUUAGGCGAAAACCAAUCGGCUUCGGCCGUUGGUGGACGACACCCGAGUAAUUGCCGCCGAUCGCACGGCCUCGAGCCGGCGACGCCUCCACUGAGUUUCUGAUCUAUCAUGCUGUCGACGGUUGGUGCUAUGCCAACCGUGGCGCUAACGGAUAACAGAGAACCUGGGUUCGAUUCUGGAGAGGCCGCAUGAGAAGCGGCGACCACUUCCAAGGAAGGCAGCAGGCACGCAAAUUACCCACUUCGGACACCGGGAGGUAGUGACGAACAAUACCGAUGCGGUGCACUUACGUGUCGCCGUAAUCGGAAUGAGUACACUUCAAAUCCUUUAACGAGGAUCCACUGGAGGGCAAGCCUGGUGCCAGCAGCCGCGGUAAUUCCAGCUCCAGCAGCGUAUAUUUAUAUUGCUGCGUUUAAAAAGCUCGUAGUUGAAGCGUCAGACGCGGGGGGACGGACGGCCGCACUGGUCGCUUCUCGUCCGACCGA